GAUGAAGAACGUAGCGAAAUGCGAUAAGUAAUGUGAAUUGCAGAAUUCAGUGAAUCAUCGAAUCUUUGAACGCACAUUGCGCCCGCCAGUAUUCUGGCGGGCAUGCCUGUUCGAGCGUCAUUUCAACCCUCAAGCCCAGCUUGGUGUUGGGGAUCGGCACAGGCGCCCUCGGCCGCCCGCCGUCCCCUAAAUCUAGUGGCGGUCCCGCUGCAGCCUCCUCUGCGUAGUAGUUUUCUCCUCGCAAGGGCAGCUCGGUGGCGACCUCGCCGUAAAACCCCCAACUUCUGAAAGGUUGACCUCGAAUCAGGUAGGAAUACCCGCUGAACUUAAGCAUAUCAAUAAGCGGAGGA
rnacentral:misc_RNA from 1 species